ACAUGAUUCUAGAAGAAAGCAUUUGGAAAGAAGACCUAACCAUCUUAUUACAGAAAAUAAUCGGCUUUAUCUUCCUCCAAUCGAUGCUCUUGAUCUCCUAGCUUCACUCCUAGCUUCAAUCCUUCAAAGGCAGCUCCUUUAGAUCUUCAAUUUGGGCUCUAGAUGAGGUUGGGAGCUGGUUUUUGCAGAGAAAACUCGGGAGAAAUUGGGGAAAAUCGAGCUGGGAAAAGUCUUC
rnacentral:lncRNA from 1 species